CACAAAUGAAGACCAGAGUGACCAGGGCAACAGUAUUUUUAAUCUUCUCCUGAAGGUCAGGUCCAGAUACCACUUUUGUCAACAACACAGCUUUGUGUCCCAGCAAAGGAACUCCUCACACAUCUGCCUGGCAUUUGGCAGAAGGUAACCUCUGAGGCAAUCAGAUUUUAACAAGCCCAUUCACGUAGAAAGUUGCUUUCUUUUUUGGUUCAUCCCCAGAAAUACUUCCUUCCCCACCACCUCCCAUCCCCCACAGCAAAGGACUUAGCCUUAGCCUGGCUAUCACUAUAAAAUGGCCCCUCUGAGGGGCCUCCUUCCUCUCAGCUAUUGGAGGAAGGAGAGUAUUUGGAGCAUUUCCGGCCCUUCUUGGCCGGCUGCCUGAACCCUGCAGCCAAGACACAUUUGACUGGGACUCCCCCAUGGAGAGAAGUCCUCCCAGGUCCUCUGCAAGGGGCAUCUGUGCCUUGGCUAUGGACAUACCCUAAAGUGCCAGGUGGACGGAAGAGCUCCUGGGACCAGCAGGUUGGGGGCAUCAAUUCACGUUGGCUAGAAAUGUGACUUCUUCAGUAUUUACCAUUUUAACAAAAUCCAUGAUAAGUGAUUUGGAAGGUCCCACGGAGAGGAUGAAAUGACACCUUUGUGUUACCCAGUUUCUUUAAGACCUCUAUGGUUGAGAAGAGAGGACAAAGAAACACCCCCACCUCUGCCAUCCUCCGAGGGAUUUUUCACAGCAAUUCCAGUGCUGCUCAGCGGAAAGCUCUGCAAGCCAACUGCAAACCCCCAGCCCCAGAGGUUAGACAUUUACAAACUUUGUUGCUGAUUUAUCAGCACUCCUCUGCGAUUUUGGGGGCAGGAGCAAACACAAGCUUAAGUCACCACACAGGCUCCAACCCUUACCCCAAGAUGGGGGAAAAACUCCAAAGGAGAUGCAGGAGGGAGCCUCAGCAGUCACUGUGAGAGCACAAAGAGGCCAAGACCCAGGGUAGGCAAAGGAAGGUGAGAGGCACCAGCAGGGCAGGAAGAGGAGUCAGCUAUAAACAUGGAGGCUUCCCGCCCCCCACAUAGCAAGCUAUGGAAGGAAGCUUCCAGCAAGAUUCAUGUCUAAGCUUUUCAAGUUAAAGUCUUGGCUACAUCUACAAUGAAGGGUGCCUGAACAACUUCUUGAGGGAAUAAGGCAGAAUUUCCCCCUUAUGCGGAUAACAAAAGAGCUAGCCACCCUGAAAACUUGCCACAUCCCAAUUUUCAGAGAUGGUCAGUCUCUCAGAAGAAUCCUUGCGAUUAGCUAUCAGAACCUGUCCAGUUCCGCAUGUGAGAAGGUAAUCCAAGGCAUCAUUGAGAGGAAGGGGCAUCAGGAUUCAUGGACAACAAAAAAAAUCUCUGAUUCCUCCAAAAGGCGUGUGGGUCAGAGAGCUCCCGAAGAGGCUGCCUCCACCAGUUCUCAUUUCAUGUUGGGAGGUUACAGGGUGGGUCUUGUUUUCUUGGCUUUUCCCCAUCUAAUCCGAAAGCCAAGGUCACAACCUCUAAGCAAUGGGGUGACAAUCUCAUAUAGAGCUGCAGUAAACGGCCAUUCUUGCCAAGCUGAUAUUAACAUUUCUUUUUUCUUUUUGAUGUUACACACAAUCCUGUCCUUGCUGUACCAGAAAGCCAUUUCACCCAUCUGUCUGGGAAGAUGAUCCAAUUUUGGUGCUUUUAUCAUCAAUGCUUUCAGCAACUUUGUUCUACUUCCCCUACUGUAAUUACUUUUGAAUCAUCAACACACCCAGACAGGCUUAAACCUCAGAGAACAGAAUGCUAAAAAA